UACAAAUGCUGUUGCUGCGCUGAGUGCA
rnacentral:sRNA from 1 species